rnacentral:rRNA from 2 species
ACGUGUGCAACCUGCCUUUAUCUGGGGGAUAGCCUUUCGAAAGGAAGAUUAAUACCCCAUAAUAUAUUUGAUGGCAUCAUUAGAUAUUGAAAACUCCGGUGGAUAGAGAUGGGCACGCGCAAGAUUAGUUAGUUGGUGAGGUAACGGCUCACCAAGGCGAUGAUCUUUAGGGGGCCUGAGAGGGUGAUCCCCCACACUGGUACUGAGACACGGACCAGACUCCUACGGGAGGCAGCAGUGAGGAAUAUUGGACAAUGGGUUAGCGCCUGAUCCAGCCAUCCCGCGUGAAGGACGACGGCCCUAUGGGUUGUAAACUUCUUUUGUAUAGGGAUAAACCUACUCUCGUGAGAGUAGCUGAAGGUACUAUACGAAUAAGCACCGGCUAACUCCGUGCCAGCAGCCGCGGUAAUACGGAGGGUGCAAGCGUUAUCCGGAUUUAUUGGGUUUAAAGGGUCCGUAGGCGGAUCUGUAAGUCAGUGGUGAAAUCUCAUAGCUUAACUAUGAAACUGCCAUUGAUACUGCAGGUCUUGAGUAAAUUUGAAGUGGCUGGAAUAAGUAGUGUAGCGGUGAAAUGCAUAGAUAUUACUUAGAACACCAAUUGCGAAGGCAGGUCACUAAGAUUUAACUGACGCUGAUGGACGAAAGCGUGGGGAGCGAACAGGAUUAGAUACCCUGGUAGUCCACGCCGUAAACGAUGCUAACUCGUUUUUUGUGAUUCGUCAUGAGAGACUAAGCGAAAGUGAUAAGUUAGCCACCUGGGGAGUACGUUCGCAAGAAUGAAACUCAAAGGAAUUGACGGGGGCCCGCACAAGCGGUGGAUUAUGUGGUUUAAUUCGAUGAUACGCGAGGAACCUUACCAAGACUUAAAUGGGAGUGGACAGAUUUAGAAAUAGGCCCUCCUUCGGGCCGCUUUCAAGGUGCUGCAUGGUUGUCGUCAGCUCGUGCCGUGAGGUGUUAGGUUAAGUCCUGCAACGAGCGCAACCCCUGUCGCCAGUUGCUACCAUUCAGUUGAGGACUCUAGCGAGACUGCCUACGCAAGUAGAGAGGAAGGUGGGGAUGACGUCAAAUCAUCACGGCCCUUACGCCUUGGGCCACACACGUAAUACAAUGGCCGGUACAGAGGGCAGCUACAAAGCGAUGUGAUGCAAAUCUCGAAAGCCGGUCUCAGUUCGGAUUGGAGUCUGCAACUCGACUCUAUGAAGCUGGAAUCGCU